UUCACAAAUGCAAGAGAAACAGAAAGGCAUAUUUCGUUCCUGAAAAAUACGUUAUAAACAUCAACAUUCCGAAUGGUUCAAUAUUAUUUUAUAUUUUUCAAGGUGCCGAAGGAGUCGCUCAUCAAGAAGAAAUUGAAUAUCUAUUUCGAUGUCCAAACAACAGAGAUCUGAGUAAAUUUCCUGAAGAAGAUAGGAUCACACAUGAUCGACUUGUUACCAUGUGGUCACAGUUUGUCAAGUAUCUGAAUCCAACGAAAGGGAAAAAUGAACUACUUCAAAAUAUUGUGUGGCCAAAAGUAACACCACAAGAGUUCUUUUACUUAAAUAUCAACACUACGCUGGCAGUUGAGAAGAAUAUCAAGAACUAUGAAAAAUAUAAGGAAAUUUAUUCAAUAUAUGCCAACGAAGAAUUGUCUACGUACUGAAUAAAAUAAUAUACUACAUACCUUUUUA